rnacentral:rRNA from 1 species
AGCUCGUAACACAGGUGCUGCAUGGCUGUCGUCAGCUCGUGUCGUGAGAUGUUGGGUUAAGUCCCGCAACGAGCGCAACCCUUGUCAUUAGUUGCCAUCAUUAAGUUGGGCACUCUAAUGAAACUGCCGGUGACAAGCCGGAGGAAGGUGGGGAUGACGUCAAGUCCUCAUGGCCCUUAUGACCAGGGCUUCACACGUCAUACAAUGGUCGGUACAGAGGGUAGCCAAGCCGCGAGGUGGAGCCAAUCUCACAAAACCGAUCGUAGUCCGGAUUGCACUCUGCAACUCGAGUGCAUGAAGUCGGAAUCCCUAGUAAUCCCAGGUCAGCAUACUGCGGUGAAUACGUUCCCGGG